GGGAUGUAGCUCAGCUGGUAAAGUGGUUGCUUAGCCUUCAUAAGGCCCUGGGUUCAAUCCCCAGCCCCA
rnacentral:tRNA from 1 species